rnacentral:lncRNA from 1 species
UUAUGUAUAAAAUAUGAUAGUGCUUCAUCUUGAAUUCAUAGUCAUUCUUUGAUGAUUGGCAUCAGUACAUACAUGAAACUUUCCAGUGAUUAACUGACAACACCUUUUGAUCCAUUAAAAGUACAUGAAAAAUUAAAAAUGCAACCCAUCCAGCAAAUAUAUGAACUGUUGGUUUUGGUCGGUUAUGUCGGGUUUUUAUCGGUUUCCUGAUUUUUUGAAUGGUUCUUAGUGAGUAUGGUUUUUUGUAGGAUAUA